UCCCUCUCUCUCUCUCCCUUCUAACAAUAUAUAUGGUCCCAUGCGGUUUGUAAAUGAACCAUCUAUGGUAAUCUAUGUAGAUAUGUAAUGAAUAUUUAAGAGAUAGAUUUAAUAGCUCGUCUCAGGUAGGGUUUUAUGGUGUAGGGUAAACAUUCGCCACUUCAAGCUAGCUACACUUUUAUUCUUUGUUACUGGAUGCCACAUAAUAUGUGCAUGUGUAGAAGGCUGUAUGUUUUCCUUUCAAAGAUUAGAAGGUUGAAUUUACAUGCACAAGUAGUGUUUAGGUAACUUUGCGGGAUGCACAAAAAGUUAAGUUUAGUGAUCAUGGCAUCACAUAUGCUAUAUUUUGAUAAGGGGAAAGUAAAGAUCUAUGACCUAUGAUGAUAUAUUCCCAGAACAUAGACUAUGUUAGCAAAUCAUGAUAUAUAUACCAUAUCCAAUGGUGUAGAAUGAAGCUACUUAUCUUCUCAAAGCUGUUCAAGACAAUGAAAAAUACCUUUUGCUUUUGAGCAAGGACGAAUAAUAAGUAUAUCUAGGUGUGCUAAAACCAUGAUGACCAGUCACCCAUCCAUUUCGAAAUAUAAUUAAUUAACCAACCAUAUAUGGUCUAAGAGUAAAAUACAUUUUAAUUUUUUAAAUAUAACUAUGUGUAGGAAAAUGAAAAGAUAUACAAGGAAUAAACAAUAUCUUCAGAUAAUCUCGACAAACUGAAGUGCUUGUUCGGUAAGAGCGCAGUUGUAUAACUUUGCUGUUAUGUUGGUCACAAAUUAUGCGUUCCACUUCAGCUUCCCCUGAACAUGUCAAAGAUAAUUUGAUUUUGUCUAUGAUUAUUAUUCAUGUAAAAGUUGCGCGUGCCCGACAUCCACUUCCUUAUAGAAGAGAUGGUUAUCUUUAUUGUCAAUUUAUACAUUGAGUCUUUCUCCUAUAUAUAGGUAUGUUAACUGCUCCGAGUGUUACAUACUUGCUAGCAGGGAGUUGCUGGAAACAUAGGGAAAAUGGCGAAGAGAAACACUGUUGGCCUACUACUUGUCCUUGCAAUUAUGUUCUCCUACAAUGUCUUGGAGGGCGGUGCACACCAGAGCCAAGUUGUAUUCUCUCGCAAAGUGAUGAAUACAGAGCAGAAGGCAUCCUUUAGUGGGAUAAGUUCAUCCCUUGGCGGGCAUGUUUUUGGUGCGACCAAUGCAGGAGGUGUGAGCAAUAAUGCUGAAAUAGCAAAUGUUGAAACUACCACUACCAUAGAGUCCCACCGUGAUGUCUCAGUGGGAGAUUUUCAUGGGAUUAACCACAAACCACCAACUUAUAACAGGCCAUAAUGAUGAACCUAAGACAAGGGACCAUGGGCACCAACUUGAUAUCCGUGGAUGAACUAAUUAUCAAGUUGGCAAUUUCUACACUAAAGAUGUAUUUCUUCAUUAUAUGUGUGUGUAACUGUUUGUGAUACCUCGCUGGUGUAUUGGAGGGUCAAGCUAUUUACUGUUGUACUAAUAUUGUACAAGGUAGUACUGUACAAUACUGCAGAAUAAAUGAUGCCCGUGGUCCAUGGUAAUGGCCACUAUUUAUAUGUUC